rnacentral:lncRNA from 1 species
UCUCAGGCUCCCUUACAUAAACUGAAGCCCACUGCGAAAGUGAAGAGAAUCUCUGCAGUAAAAGCCCACCAGACCACCAUGGGUGGCAAGUUGGAGGGAUCAACACCUCACAUCAAAACCUGCACUAUCCUCAGGGGAAAGGCAGCUGGAACCUGCAGUAGAACCUUGCAGGGUUCAACCCUGCAGAAGUUCAGUAAUUGAACCCUCAGCCAAACAGAUGGACAGUAGUACCAAUGAAAUGAACAUAUUUAUGUAGAUAGCCCAGCACAAAUUGAUGUGCAGCUGAACUUAAAGACAGGAAACAAG